rnacentral:rRNA from 1 species
UCGAACGAGAAAGUGGAGCAAUCCAUGAGUACAGUGGCGACCGGGUGAGUAACACGUGACUAACCUACCUCCGAAUGGGGAAUAACUCCGGGAAACCGGGGCUAAUACCGCAUAACACCGCAAGGUCAAAGCAGCAAUGCGUUUGGAGAGGGGGUCGCGGCUGAUUAGCUAGUUGGCGGGGUAACGGCCCACCAAGGCGAAGAUCGGUAUCCGGCCUGAGAGGGCGCACGGACACACUGGAACUGAAACACGGUCCAGACUCCUACGGGAGGCAGCAGUGGGGAAUUUUGCGCAAUGGGGGAAACCCUGACGCAGCAACGCCGCGUGGAGGAUGAAGCCCUUUGGGGCGUAAACUCCUUUCGACCAAGACGAUAAUGACGGUUGUGGUGGAAGGACCACCGGGCUAAUCAUUAGUGUCGCGCAGUCGCGGGGAGUAUACAUGUGAAGUUG